rnacentral:rRNA from 1 species
CACGUAGGGUGCGAGCGUUGUCCGGAAUUAUUGGGCGUAAAGAGCUCGUAGGCGGUGUGUCACGUCGGCCGUGAAAACCUGCAGCUUAACUGUGGGCGUGCGGUCGAUACGGGCAUCACUAGAGUUCGGCAGGGGAGACUGGAAUUCCUGGUGUAGCGGUGAAAUGCGCAGAUAUCAGGAGGAACACCGGUGGCGAAGGCGGGUCUCUGGGCCGAUACUGACGCUGAGGAGCGAAAGCAUGGGUAGCGAACAGG